GGGCCCGUGGCGCAGCUGGUAGCGCACCUGCAUGGCAUGCAGGGGGUCAGGGGUUCAAAUCCCCUCGGGUCCAC
rnacentral:tRNA from 1 species